AUUUCCACUCAGCCAGCCUUCCUGUGGUUCUGGAUGAUGUCCGUGUUUUAGUUGUAUUUUUGAAGUUGUUGUGCAAGGCAACAAUUUCCAGUGUUUAACUAUGCCGCCAUCUGGGUUUCUCCUGAAUGGUACAUUC